rnacentral:rRNA from 1 species
AGAGUUUGAUUAUGGCUCAGGAUGAACGCUAGCGAUAGGCCUAACACAUGCAAGUCGAGGGGCAUCACAUGAAGUAGCGAAUACGGAUGGUGGCGACCGGCGCACGGGUGAGUAACACGUAUGCAACCUGCCUUCAACAAGGGCAUAACCCGUUGAAAGACGGACUAAUUCCCUAUAACACAGGGGUCCCGCAUGGGAAUAUUUGUUAAAGAUUAAUCGGUUGAAGAUGGGCAUGCGUUCCAUUAGCUGGUUGGCGGGUAACGGCCCACCAAGGCAACGAUGGAUAGGGGAACUGAGAGGUUUAUCCCCCACACUGGUACUGAGACACGGACCAGACUCCUACGGGAGGCAGCAGUGAGGAAUAUUGGUCAAUGGACGCAAGUCUGAACCAGCCACGUCCGCGUGAAGGAAGACGGCCCUACGGGUUGUAAACUUCUUUUGUAAGGGAAUAAAGUGGGCCACGUGUGGCUUUUUGCAUGUACCUUACGAAUAAGGAUCGGCUAACUCCGUGCCAGCAGCUGC